rnacentral:lncRNA from 1 species
CGUCAGAAGACUUCCAAGCAGUUCCCCAUUUGCACUGAUUUGUUUAUAAAAUUCCCGAAGGUCAUCUGUGUUUUCAGACACGAGGGACAUGGUCAGUGUGAUGUUAGGGCUAAUCGUCAGCUUGACAGGGUAUAGAAUCACCUAGAAGACAAACAUCUGGAUGUGUCAUUAACCAGGCUUGGGGCCGGGACUACAUAAAAAGGAGAAAGGGAGCUGAACGUAUGAUGUGGCAUGACCAGCAGCCCCAGGCUCCUUCUCUCAUGGUUACCUCUCUGUGACAGUCUGUACCUCCACACUGUGAUCUGGAAUAAACCCGUCCUUCCUUAAAUAGCUGUCAGGCAUUUACCACCAUAGCGACAGAAGUGACCAGCAUAGCUGCUACCCACUGAUUACCUGCAUGAUAACUGGGCUUUUAGUUCCCCCUUCUGUAUAUUUCCAUGUGAGUGUAGUACCUGUCUAAACAGAGUCAAGGUUUAUGUCACCUUCAGUCUGUACACAUCAUGCCUACUACUGAACAGUGGUGUUGUUCAAUUACACUUCCUCCAGCUACUGUUACGUUUAAUUACCUUUCCUCCCGAAGCUAACAGUCUGCCUUUUAAAGCUUGACUUUGGAAGUAGCUGUUGCUAAUACUCCCAUGUGUAUCCAUUAGCUAUCCAGAACAGUUUCUCCUGAAUGUCCACACAUAUCGUCAGGUGAUCUCGCACCAUCCCCCCCCCCCCAUGCUUGCUGGAGACCUCUUCGGUACCAGCUGUCAUCUUGAUCCCAGUUGGACAGCUCCUCGCUGCACCUGGGGCUCAGGUGUCCUGGCAGUAAGGCUUGUCAUCAGCAGUACCCUUCCCCUCUGGAUUCCUGCUUGGAUUUUUAGAGUGCCUGUUUUUUUUUUUUUUUUUUUUUUCUUGGCUUAGCCUUCUAUUUCCCUGAAUCAUGUCUUUUACUAUGGCCCUAGGAAAAGGUGUGUGGGAGGCAAAAAUUUUGAGUUCUUACAAAUCUGAAAAUAUCUUUUUUUUCCAUGCUUAGCCUUUAUUUGACUAAGUAUAGAAUUCUAGGAUAAAAGUGCUUCUCUCUCAGAACGUUGGGUACCCACUGUCUCUUUCGUCAGUGUCUUCUGUUGAGAGUCUGAUGCCACCUGCAUUCUUAUUCCUUUGGACAGGCCUUGACUUUUUCUCUUUAGCCCAGUGGUUCUCAACCUUCCGAAUGCUGCAGCCCUUUGAUACACUUCCUCAUGUUGUGCUGACCCCAACCAUAAAAUUAUUUCAUUGCUGCAUCAUAACUGUAUUUUGCUACUGUCAUGAAUUGCAAUGUAAAUACGUGAUAUGCAGGAUUUUGAUAUGCAACCAUGUGGGGGUUGUGACCCAAGAUAGAGAACUCCUGCUCUAGAAUCUGUCCCCUUGCCCCACUACCCUGGCUCUCUGAAUUUCAUGAUAUCACCUUGGCAUUUCCCUCCAUUCUGCGUGACCCCAGUGAGCACCUUUAACAUGGAGAAUUAUGUCCUUCUCUUCUGGGAAACUAUUCCUCUAUUGUUGCUUUAAGACUGGGUGUCACAGCCGGGUGUUGGUGGCAGAGUCCCACUUUGUGCCCCUGGUUGGUUUGGUAUUCGCUGUAACCAGGCCGGCCUCAAGCCUGAGUUAGUGCUCCUGCUUCUGUUUCUGCUUGCCAAGCGCUAGGCUUGCAGGAGUAUGUCACCACCAUACUUGGUUAAUGAUUUAUCAUCUGCCUGAUUAAUAUGUAUAACUCAUAGUGACAUCCCUGGAGUGGAAUGUGUACAUUGUUACUGCCCUGCACAGGCCACUGAGUCUUUGGUAUCAGCACACGGGUUUUCUGUGUGUGGGCACUUCUCCAUACCCUAGAGUCAGGUGGUUAGAGUGGGAUGGGUGUGUAACUCAGGCCUGACAAUCCUGAGAGAGUCCCGCUCAGGGACAGACACAUGAUCCAAUCAAGACCAAUGAGAGUUGCCUCUGGCCCUGUUGCCUGGAGUAUUGGAGAAGAACUGUUUUUUCUAUCAGGACUGAAAAUAAAUGUGGGCAGAUGUUAACAUCUGUCUGUUUACUUGCUUGAUUGUGCUUAUGCAGUAAAACUUGAAGGCAGUGUCCCCCCAAAGUCACAUCGGCUCACUUAGGAUGAAAUCUGUGGGUUUCCCACACUUACAUAUUAUUUAUAUAUUUUGUAUAGUUAUUUAUAUCAAAAUAGAUUUUGAUAUUAUAUUACUUUAAAGAUAUUUAAUAUAAGAUAAUAGAGCAUAUCCUUUGCUUAUAACAUUAUUAGUAUGAUUUUUAAAGUUACAUUUUAUUAAUUAAUUUACUUGUUUUAGUGUGUGUGUGUGUGUUCGAAUGUGGAGGUUAGAGUAAAACUUGUGGAAUUUGGCUUUCUCCUAUCAUGUGGGUUCCAUGUGUUAGUAUUCAGGCAUCUGUACUGGCCUGACUUGGGGUUUUGACAGGAUAGCCCUCAGCUGCCACUAAGAGCACCACCUGUGCAUAUUCACUAUGUUCCCUUUUAAAAGGGCCUUGCUCACCUCCCAUCCUUUUCUCUCUCUCCCUCUCUCUUUCUCUCCCUCUCUGUUCUUCUCUCUCACCUUCUCCCUCUCUUUCUCCCCCUCUUUCCUCUCUCUUCCCUUUUCCUCUCUCCUCUCCCCUGCUGCUCCUGUCUCUGAGGUCAGUCUUCCUCCUCCCCUUUCCCCCUUUUAUGAUCCCUUUCCCUAAUAAAAACCCCCUCUAGGCUGGGUGUUGGUGGCCCACGCCUUUAAUCCCAGCACUCAGGAGGCAGGUGGAUCUCUGUGAGUUCGAGGCCAGCCUGGUCUCCAGAGAGAGAGUGCCAGGAUAGGCUCCAAAGCUACACAGAGAAACCCUGUCUCGGGAAAAAAAAAAAAGAAAAAAGAAAACCAAAAAAUAACCCCUCUGCUUGAACCCUGUCUCAUGGCAUCUUUCUCUCGAGUGCUGCUUUUCUUAAAUUACAACACCAGGGAUUGAACUCAGGCUGUCAGCCUGUUACCUGCUAAGCUAUCUCAGCUUGCAACACUAGUUUAAAUUUUACACUAACUCAUACCAGGAGAGACAUGCUGCCCCCUCAAGUGUCCAUCUCAUACUCCAGCCGGAUUCUUGUCUGAAUCCCAGCUCCAAGUCUGUUGGGAUCCGCACUCUAAUCUGACAACUGGUUUCCUGUUAUGACUCUUCCAAAAGAAACUCCUGUCCUUUGACUAGAGAUGCAGCUCAACUGGUAGCAUGCUUGCUUCUCAUGCACAAAACCUGGGUUCCAGCCUCAGUACUAUAUAAGUGGUACUUCGAGCUUGUACCAAGUAAAAUUUGAGUUUGAGGCUGGCCUGGGAUUUGUAAGAUUCUGUCUCAGAAAGCAAGACAACAAUCAAAACAAAACCAAAAAGAUCACACACACACACACACACACACACACACACACACACACACACACACUCACACACACUCUUAACAAACACCUUUCUUACUCUCAGCACUCUAGAAACUGAGGUUGGGGGAAUUUGUGAGUUCAAGGCCAAACUGGGCUACAUUGUGAAAGCCUGACUUACAGUAAAGUUUUACUUUUUAAAAAAGAGCCAGUUCAAAGUAGAGCAUUAGAUGUAAGAAGUUGGGCUGGUGUUGCCCACAUCCCCUCACAGAAGUGUGUGUGGAGGGUGGCUCCCAUGGCAUGGAGGGUCUUCCUCCAAGUGUAAUCCAGAGGAACUGGAGUGACUGGGUUAAUGUGACCUGGUUCUUGAACUGACUUAGAUGUUCUCGGUCACCAUGCCAUCAGCAAUGAGUAGAAUGAUAGUGGCAUUCACAAGCUGCCUGCCUUUGGGCUCAGCAACUUCAGAUACCAAACAGGAGCAGCCCAGUAUGGCCCUUCUUUGGGUUCCAACUGCUUGUUUGUCAUCACUCCUGGGAAUUCAUACACUGGCGGGGAGGCCCUCCAGCAGGUAGGGCCUCUCCUGUCUAUUCCUACUGCAGGUCCCUGCCUGAAGCAACAGUGACAUCCCCAAAGCUAAACUUCCCAUUGUCUUGCUUGCGUUGUUUCUUUCCCAGAAGAGGACACUCUGGGUUUAUCCUUGUAUAACCCAAAGACCCAUUAAAACAUUUUCUUCCCCUAAAAAUAAAAGGGUUGUUCCCAGAAGAGCACAUCACUGCCACCUCCACAGGAGACAGAGCAAGCAGACUAAAAAUCCCAAAGUCUUGCAUCUUAAGAUUGCAGUUUGUCCCCGGUGUUUGCAUCAGCUAUUUCAGAAAUAGCAGAGGCCACUUUCUGCACACCCCAUUAUAAACCUAUCCGGAAAGCAAAGACUGAAAAGGAGGCCAUGGCCAGGCCGCAAGGACUUGUGGGAAUGUUUCAGUUGGAGGCACAAGGUCAGCAGAAUUCAGUUUCGCCAGCACUGGGAUCUGAUGUAGGGACUGAGGGCCAAGCGUCAGCAGCUAGCUGCAGGCUUAGGGAUGGCGAGUUGUCAGGCCUCUUCCAGCCUCAGAACUCUGCACCAUCAGCGAGGCUGGGACAUGCUUCAGGUGUGGGUUUCCACCCGCCUCUCCCUGCAUUGCAUCAGCGGCGGUGGAACUCACCCUCCCACCCCACUGCACCCACAGGUCCUUCCCGCUCACGGAACCUCUCAGCGCUUGAUAACAUCCUUUUGUUCUUGAGUGAUCCACACCCUUCGGGGGUGGGAAUGAGGAAACCUACAGCGAAAGUGCUGUGCAGAAGAAAGGAGAAGCUGAGCUGCACUCCAAGUCCCUUGUAGGCCAGCUUGUUCCUCGGAAGUUCUCAGGCACUGGGCAGAGGGAGCUCGUUUUGGGGGAGUCAUUAGGGAUUGUUUUCCAAGGAAUUCUUCAGUUAAGUGUUGGGUGUCUUCCCACCAGACCGAAACUCCUUCGCAUUGCAUCUAGGAUUCUGUGAAUCUUGCCCUAGACUUUGCCAAUUCUCUUCCCACACUCGACGAGUUCUGGCCACUUAGAAUGACCUCCUAUUGCCAUGGAGGGCUCAAAUUGUCAUGCCUCUGUGACUGUUUUGCAUAUACCAUUUGCUCUGUUUGGAAUGCCUUUGGCAUUCCACUUUAUACAUUUUUUUUAUCUUAUCUGUGUGAAUGUUUGGCUGCAUGUUUAUUCACCAUGUGUGUGUCACGCCAGCAGAAGCAAGAAGAGGGCUUCUGGUCCCUCGGGACUGGAGUUACAGAUGUGUGGUGCUGGGACUCAAACAGGCCAUUGCUUUAACCUAACUGCUGAGUGUUUCCAGCUCCCCACUUUUCAAAUAACUGUUAUUUAUCCCUCAAAACUCUACCUAAAGCCUCUGGUGUCUCUUUGAGCCUGGCUUGACUACCCAGACAAGGCUGGCUCCGAGGCAUGGGGUUCCUCUCCUGGCUCAUCACCUCUCAGGGUAAUUAUUAGGAUUUGCAUGUUUAUCGCCUUCCUAGCUGCUCCUCUAGGGCAGACACUGUCACUCACUUCUGCAAACCCGGUGCCCAGAAAGUGCCAAGCCCUGAUGAUUCCUCAAGUAACAGGGUGGAAGGAAGGGGUAAGCACCAUUUCUUCUGAAUGGCAUCAAGAGACUGCUUGUGUCAGCGUGUAUAGUCCCUGGGUCAUGGUGCCAUCUCUUCAGUGAAGAGACAUAUGUGUGAGUCUGAGUAUUCACCCACUACGAGGAUGGAGUUUGCCAUUUCCAGGUGCUUUCACUAUGCCUUACAUAUUAACUCUACGGAUGUGUGCGUGCAUAUGCACACAAACCUUUACCAACAUAAAAUGACACUGAGAUUACUAUCAUGUUCAAAGUCUCCUGUGCUGGGACUUGAACCAGAGUCUUCUAGCUCCAAAUCAAUGUGCUCUUUUUUUGAUAUCAUAUACCAGAGAUGCCCAGUCAUUGAUGAGCAUUAGCACCCUGGGAACUUGGUAGCAAUAAAAAUAAGAGUUUUUUUUUUUUUUUUUUUUGAGACAAGGUCUUAUAUAAACCAGGCUGGCUUUAAACUCACUAUGCAGCUGGGGAUGACCUUGAAUGCCUCAUCCUCCUGCCUCCACUUCCCAAGUGCUGGGAUCACAUCAUGUCAGGUUUACAUGGUACUUUGCAUUGAAUCCAGGGUUUCCUGUAUGCUAGGUGAACACUUGACUGAGCUGUAUACAUCCCCAGACACCAAGAUACUUUUUAAAAGAUGAGUCUGAAGUUGGGCAGUGGUACAUGCCUUUAGUCCUAGAACUUGGGAGGCAGAGGCAGGUGGAUCUCUGUGAGUUCGAGGCCAGCCUGGUCUACAGUAAAAGUACCAGGACAGGCAGGGGUACACAAAGAAACCCCUUAUUGAGGCACCCCCCAAAAAAGCUGAGCCUCUAAUUCUAGCUCUCAGGAGGUUGAGGAAAGAUUGCCACAUGGUGGAGGCCAGCCUGAGCUACAUAGCAAGAAUCUGCCUUAAAGAACCAAAAGGAAAAAAAUAUAAUUUGAGAUGCCAUCCCAGACCUGCCAUAUGGAAAACUCCUGGCAUGGGGCCCAACAGUCUGCUUUAACCAAACCUAUGGGUGAUUGUGUAUGGCUGGUUCAGGAUUGAGAACCACCGUUUACACUGUCACAGCUGCUCUAAAGUCUUGCUGACAGCCAGGGGAGGGCGCUCCAGGGCAAACUUUCAGCCAUCAAACAGCCUGGCAAUGGGAAUGGCAAACUGCGAAGCAGGCUGGAAGGCCAGAAGCUGCCUGGCCUACAUGCAGAGCUGCUCCGGCUUGCCGGGCAGGAUUGGCUCCAUGAUUUGUCAGCUGCCAGACCUGGUCCUCGGUUUUCUCAUCUGCAAAGCGAGGAUUCUUACUGAGUGCUCUCACUCUGAUUAUCCUCUUCGAUUUUGUUAUCCAGCUCUCAAGAGGAGUGUGCUGCUGUCUGUGCCAAAG